rnacentral:rRNA from 1 species
AUGGCCGGCGGCUACGGCGGCGCCGGUGGCAACCUCAAGAACAUGGUCAUCGCCUUCCUCGUCCCGCUCCCGUCCAUCCUCUUCUACCUCACCUUCGUCCGCUCCCAAGACGGCCACAGCGCCGGCCCGGUGUCCUCGUGGUGCGCCGCGCACCCGCUCCUCCUCGCCAACGCCCUCUUCCUCCUCAACGUCGACGUCCUCUUCUGGCUCAUCGGCCACCUCCUCUCCAACAACUGGCUCAUCGACCUGUACUGGACCGUCAUCCCGGUGAUGCUGCUGCACUACUUCCGGGCGCACCCGGCCGCCGUGGCGAACACGGCGAGGUCGGCGGCAGCGGUGGCGCUGACCUGGGUGUGGAGCGCCAGGCUGACGCACAACUACUUCAGGAGGGAAGGGUGGCAGUGGGGAAAGCAGGAGGACUGGAGGUUCUCCGAGAUGCGCGGGCAGUACGGCAAGACCUGGUGGUGGAUGUCAUUCUUCGCCGUCUACCUCUCGCAGCAGGUGUUUCUGAUUGGCAUAUGCCUGCCGAUGUACGCCAUUCACUCCAGCGACCAGCCAUUGGGCAUCUGGGACCUCGUGGCGACAGUUGUCUGCAUUACCGGAGUCGUGAUCGCCUACUUUGCUGACACCCAGCUGCACCAGUUCGUCACCAGGAACGAGAAACUGAAGCAGCUAGGCGAACCGACAGUCCCCACCCUCGAGGACGGCCUGUGGGGGUACUCGCGCCACCCCAACUACUUCGGCGAGCAGCUCUGGUGGUGGGGUGUGUACCUCUUCGCCUGGAACCUGGGGCAGCGGUGGAUGUUCAUCGGGGCGCUUGUCAACAGCAUGUGCCUCGGCUACGUCACCGUGCUCGUCGAGCGGCGCAUGCUGAAGCAGGAGCACCGGGCAGAGGCCUACAGGCUGUACCAGAAGAGGACCUCUGUUCUGAUCCCCUGGUUCAGGAAGUCUCUCCCUGAACCAAAGGAAAAGGAGACUUAG